rnacentral:rRNA from 1 species
GAUGAACGCUGGCGGCGUGCCUAAUACAUGCAAGUCGAGCGAACAGAUGAGGAGCUUGCUCUUCUGACGUUAGCGGCGGACGGGGGAGUAACACGUGGAUAACCUACCUAUAAGACUGGGAUAACUUCGGGAAACCGGAACUAAAACCGGAUAAUAUAUUGAACCGCAUGGUUCAAUAGUGAAAGACGGUUUUGCUGUCACUUAUAGAUGGAUCCGCGUCGGAUUAGCUAGUUGGUAAGGUAACGGCUUACCAAGGCGACGAUGCGUAGCCGACCUGAGAGGGUGAUCGGCCACACUGGAACUGAGACACGGUCCAGACUCCUACGGGAGGCAGCAGUAGGGAAUCUUCCGCAAUGGGCGAAAGCCUGACGGAGCAACGCCGCGUGAGUGAUGAAGGUCUUCGGAUCGUAAAACUCUUUUAUUAGGGAAGAACAAAUGUGUAAGUAACUAUGCACGUCUUGACGGUACCUAAUCAGAAAGCCACGGCUAACUCCGUG